UCCCCAGGCUGGGGCGGGGCGCAAUGCCUUAACCCCUUUGUAGCUGCGUCCAGGUUCGCGCUUGGGACCCCUCUAUCUCGCCUUCUCCAAGGCUGCGUAAGUCGGUCCCGAGCCCCUCUGCUCGUCUCCUGCUACCCCCCAAGCCCCUUGGGCUCGGUCCCCAGGCUCUGAUCUGUAACAAAUGCGGUGGGACCGCGCCCUCCACCACAUCUUUGGCGACUGGGAGGAGACCCUCGGGUUUGGGGAAGGGGUCCCAGAUGCCGACCCCAGCCCCAUUCCUCUCCCACUCCUGCUCUUCCGGACGCGGCCUCCCAGCGGAGGGCUUGAGACUGCAAGUCUGCAAGGUGAUUUCAGGGAGGACCACUGAAUGUUUUUCUCCUAAGCCUUUGCCCUAGGUGGUAAAAUCAGGAGUGCCUCAAAUGGCCUAAGUGAACAUUGCCCUCACCAAACAAGCCUCCUUAUCAAAUCGACCAGGUGCAAUCUUGACUUAUCUCUGAGUAGCAGGCUUCAGUUCUCUGUCAGCCUGUGGAAUCAUUCAAACAAGCCAAUCACGUUCCCUGCAGGAAUGAUGGGCUCACCUCACCCUCUUGCUGCUACAAAGCCUGUCCUGCCCAGCUUCUGGUUGUACGCUGUAUUUCUGAGUGCGACACCUGGAUGGUCCUGUGUGACCUGUGGUGUCCUCCUUCGCUGAGCUGUGAGGCUAUAGGUGCCCAAUAAACUGCUGUCAAUCUCC